rnacentral:rRNA from 2 species
AGAGUUUGAUCAUGGCUCAGGACGAACGCUGGCGGCGUGCCUAACACAUGCAAGUCGAACGAAGUAUAUUUUUCGGAAUAUACUUAGUGGCGGACGGGUGAGUAACGCGUGAACAAUCUGCCCUAUACAAAGGUAUAGCCUCGGGAAACCGGGAUUAAAACCAUAUAACACUUUUUGGUCGCAUGACUGAGAAGUCAAAUUGAUUAAGAGGUAUAGGACGAGUUCGCGUCUGAUUAGCUAGUUGGUGAGGUAAUGGCUCACCAAGGCGACGAUCAGUAGCCGGCCUGAGAGGGUGAACGGCCACACUGGAACUGAGACACGGUCCAGACUCCUACGGGAGGCAGCAGUGGGGAAUAUUGCACAAUGGGCGAAAGCCUGAUGCAGCGACGCCGCGUGAGUGAAGAAGGUCUUCGGAUCGUAAAACUCUGUCCUUGGGGAAGAUAAUGACGGUACCCAAGGAGGAAGCCCCGGCUAACUACGUGCCAGCAGCCGCGGUAAUACGUAGGGGGCGAGCGUUGUCCGGAUUUACUGGGCGUAAAGGGUGAGUAGGCGGUUAUUUAAGUCAGAUGUAAAAGGCUAUGGCUCAACUAUAGUAAGCAUUUGAAACUGGAUAACUUGAGUGCAGGAGAGGUAAGUGGAAUUCUUAGUGUAGCGGUGAAAUGCGUAGAUAUUAGGAGGAACACCAGUGGCGAAGGCGACUUACUGGACUGUAACUGACGCUGAGUCACGAAAGCGUGGGUAGCAAACAGGAUUAGAUACCCUGGUAGUCCACGCUGUAAACGAUGAGUGCUAGGUGUUGGCUAGCGAUAGUCAGUGCCGACGUAAACACAAUAAGCACUCCGCCUGGGGAGUACGGUCGCAAGACUGAAACUCAAAGGAAUUGACGG